UACAGAGGGUGCGAGCGUUAAUCGGAAUUACUGGGCGUAAAGCGUGCGUAGACGGUUAUUUAAGUCGGAUGUGAAAGCCCCGGGCUCAACCUGGGAAUUGCAUUCGAGACUGAAUAGCUAGGGUGCGGUAGGAGGGAAGCGGAAUUUCCGGUGUAGCGGUGAAAUGCGUAGAUAAUCGGAAGGAACAUCAGUGGCGAAAG
rnacentral:rRNA from 1 species